rnacentral:rRNA from 1 species
UACGAAGGGUGCAAACGUUGCUCGGAAUUAUUGGGCGUAAAGCGCACGUAGGCGGCAUUGCAAGUCGGAUGUGAAAUCCCUCGGCUUAACCAAGGAAGUGCAUCCGAAACUGCAGUGCUUGAGUAAAGUUGAGGUAGGCGGAAUUGACGGUGUAGCGGUGAAAUGCUUAGAUAUCGUCAAGAACACCGAUAGUGUAGACAGCUUACUAAGCUUUAACUGACGCUGAGGCACGAAAGUGUGGGGAUCAAACAGG